rnacentral:rRNA from 1 species
GACGGAGGAUGCAAGCGUUAUCCGGAAUGAUUGGGCGUAAAGCGUCCGCAGGUGGCAGUUCAAGUCUGCUGUCAAAGACCGGGGCUUAACUUGGAAAGGCAGUGGAAACUGAACAGCUAGAGUAUGGUAGGGGCAGAGGGAAUUCCUGGUGUAGCGGUGAAAUGCGUAGAGAUCAGGAAGAACAUCGGUGGCGAAGGCGCUCUGCUGGACCAUAACUGACACUCAGGGACGAAAGCUAGGGGAGCGAAUGGG